GCGGGAGUAGCUCAGUUGGCUAGAGCAUCAGCCUUCCAAGCUGAGGGUCGAGGGUUCGAGCCCCUUCUCCCGCUCCA
rnacentral:tRNA from 1 species